rnacentral:hammerhead_ribozyme from 1 species
CCACUUUCGUAGGAUGUGUAUCCUACCUGAUGAGUCCAAAAGGACGAAAAAGUUU